CCUAAUUUCCGUGUCCAACUUUUGACCGUCCAUCUUAUUUGAAAAAAUUAUAAAAAAAUUAAAAAGACAAGUUACGCAUAAAAUAUUAAUCAUGUUUUAUCAUCUAACAACAAUAAAAAUUCAAAUUAUAAAAAAAUUUCAUAUAAGACGGACAGUCAAAGUUGGACACGGAAAUAUAGAGUUUGCCUUUUU
rnacentral:pre_miRNA from 1 species